rnacentral:lncRNA from 1 species
GAACAAUCACUGCCACAUCGAGGAGAGCGAGCACGUGCUAAAGAAGGCUCACAAGUACAGUGAGCUUAUCAUCCUGUAUGAGAAGAAGGGGCUCCACGAGAAAGCUCUGCAGGUGCUCGUGGACCAGUCCAAGAAAGCCAACUCCCCUCUGAAAGGCCACGAGAGGACAGUGCAGUAUCUGCAGCAUCUGGGCACAGAAAACCUGCAUUUGAUUUUCUCCUACUCAGUGUGGGUGCUGAGAGACUUCCCAGAAGAUGGCCUGAAGAUAUUUACUGAAGAUCUCCCGGAAGUGGAGUCUCUGCCACGUGAUCGAGUCCUCGGCUUCUUAAUAGAGAAUUUUAAGGGUCUGGCUAUUCCUUAUCUGGAACACAUCAUCCAUGUUUGGGAGGAGACAGGCUCUCGGUUCCACAACUGCCUGAUCCAGCUAUACUGUGAGAAGGUGCAAGGUCUGAUGAAGGAGUAUCUCCUGUCCUUCCCUGCAGGUGCGCAGAAGUUCUGAAGAGGAGCCAGGGGAGCUAAGUGACACAAGCCUGGCACAUGAGACUCAGGAGCUCUUGUCUAGGUCCUGGCAUCUCUGAGUGUCUCAG